AAAAAAAAAAAAAAAUUCUGUUAUUGUUUUUUUCUUUCAGCAAGGAAAAAAGAUUAGUGACAGUGGGAUUUCUUCCUUAACAGUAAGGGAUUGGUAGAGCUAUCUUGAGACAUAAGCUACAUGGCAAUGUAUCAUUUGCUAUUCAUAUGCACAAUCAAAGAAACAAUCUCUCACUUUAAGUUUUUACUUUAUUUUUGGAUACAUAGACAACGGCAUUGUAGAGAUCAGUGAUCACCAAAAUAGAUAAGACAUAGAAUGAGUGUCAAGACAAAUGAUCAAUCAGCACAAACCUUGUAAUCUUGCAUGAACUCAUAAUGUAGAACUGUUUCUGGUUCAUCACUUGCAGCCUUUAGAAACUUAUCAAGGCCUUCUCGAGUUCCAUUAUCCA
rnacentral:misc_RNA from 1 species